rnacentral:rRNA from 1 species
GUGGGGAAUUUUGGACAAUGGGCGCAAGCCUGAUCCAGCGACGCCGCGUGGAGGACGAAGGCCUUCGGGUUGUAAACUCCUUUUGGAGGGGAAGAAUAAAUUGACGGUACCCUCAGAAAAAGCCACGGCUAACUACGUGCCAGCAGCCGCGGUAAUACGUAGGUGGCGAGCGUUACUCGGAAUUACUAGGUGUAAAGCGUAUGUAGGUGGUUAGAUAAGUCUAUGGUGAAAUUUCCUGGCUCAACUGGGAAGGGUACAUAGAUACUGUCUGGCUUGAGUGUGGGAGGGGAAGACGGAAUUCCUGGUGUAGCGGUGAAAUGCGUAGAUAUCAGGAGGAACACCGAUGGCGAAAGCAGUCUUCUGGCCCAAUACUGACACUGAGGUACGAAAGCUAGGGUAGCAAACAGGAUUAGAAACCCCAGUAGUCC